ACGCUCGACACCUAGGAGGCAGCAGUGGGGAAUAUUGCACAAUGGGGGAAACCCGUGAUGCAGCGACGCCGCGUGAGCGAAGAAGUAUUUCGGUAUGUAAAGCUCUAUCAGCAGGGAAGAUAAUGACGGUACCUGACUAAGAAGCUCCGGCUAAAUACGCGCCAGCAGCCGCGGUAAUCUGAGCGGGCUGGCAAGGC
rnacentral:rRNA from 1 species